UGGGGUGUGGCUCAGUGGUCAAGUGCUUGCCUGGCGUGCAUGAGGGCCUGGGUUCCAUCCCCAGUAUCUAAA
rfam:Ictidomys tridecemlineatus contig062258, whole genome shotgun sequence.